rnacentral:rRNA from 1 species
GAUGGCCUACGGACGCAGCAGUGGGGAAUAUUGGGCAAUGGGCGCAAGCCUGACCCAGCAACGCCGCGUGAAGGAAGAAGGCUUUCGGGUUGUAAACUUCUUUUAAGAGGGAAGAGCAGAAGACGGUACCUCUUGAAUAAGCCACGGCUAACUACGUGCCAGCAGCCGCGGUAAUACGUAGGUGGCAAGCGUUGUCCGGAUUUACUGGGUGUAAAGGGCGUGCAGCCGGGAAGACAAGUCGGAUGUGAAAUCCCGCGGCUCAACCGCGGAACUGCAUUUGAAACUGUUUUUCUUGAGUACCGGAG